GCAUCAUUAGUCUAGAGGUUAGGAUGGUUGCCUUCCAAGCAGUCGACCCGGGUUCGAGUCCCGGAUGAUGCA